GGUAAUGUGGCUUAGUGGUAAAGUGCUUGCCUUGCAUGCAUGAAGCCCUGGGUUCAAUUCCUCAGCACCA
rnacentral:tRNA from 1 species